ACGGGGGGUGCAAGCGUUGUUCGGAAUUAUUGGGCGUAAAGCGCGUGUAGGCGGUUUGUUAAGUCUGAUGUGAAAGCCCCGGGCUCAACCUGGGAAGUGCAUUGGAAACUGGCAGACUUGAAUACGGGAGAGGGUAGUGGAAUUCCUGGUGGAGGAGUGAAGUCGGGUGAUAGCUGGAGGCAUAGCAGGGGCGAAGGCGGCGGCCAGGAACGAUAUAGACACUGAUACGCGUAAGUGGGUGAAGGAAGGAG
rnacentral:rRNA from 1 species